GUAACAGGUUAAGCUGACGAGUGGCGAACGGGUGAGUAAUAUAUCGGAACGUGCCCAGUCGUGGGGGAUAACGUAGCGAAAGCUACGCUAAUACCGCAUACGAUCUACGGAUGAAAGCGGGGGAUCGCAAGACCUCGCGCGAUUGGAGCGGCCGAUAUCAGAUUAGCUAGUUGGUGGGGUAAAAGCUCACCAAGGCGACGAUCUGUAGCUGGUCUGAGAGGACGACCAGCCACACUGGAACUGAGACACGGUCCAGACUCCUACGGGAGGCAGCAGUGGGGAAUUUUGGACAAUGGGCGCAAGCCUGAUCCAGCAAUGCCGCGUGCAGGAUGAAGGCCUUCGGGUUGUAAACUGCUUUUGUACGGAACGAAACGGCGAGCUCUAAUACAGUUUGCUAAUGACGGUACCGUAAGAAUAAGCACCGGCUAACUACGUGCCAGCAGCCGCGGUAAUACGUAGGGUGCGAGCGUUAAUCGGAAUUACUGGGCGUAAAGCGUGCGCAGGCGGUUAUAUAAGACAGAUGUGAAAUCCCCGGGCUCAACCUGGGACCUGCAUUUGUGACUGUAUAGCUAGAGUACGGUAGAGGGGGAUGGAAUUCCGCGUGUAGCAGUGAAAUGCGUAGAUAUGCGGAGGAACACCGAUGGCGAAGGCAAUCCCCUGGACCUGUACUGACGCUCAUGCACGAAAGCGUGGGGAGCAAACANGAUUAGAUACCCUGNUAGUCCACGCCCUAAACGAUGUCAACUGGUUGUUGGGUCUUCACUGACUCANUAACGAAGCUAACGCGUGAAGUUGACUGCCUGGGGAGUACGGCCGCNNGNUGAAACUCAANGAAUUGACNGGGANCCGCACAGCGGUGGAUGAUGUGGUUUAAU
rnacentral:rRNA from 1 species